rnacentral:rRNA from 1 species
AGUGAACGCUGGCGGUAGGCCUAACACAUGCAAGUCGAACGGCAGCACAGUAAGAGCUUGCUCUUACGGGUGGCGAGUGGCGGACGGGUGAGGAGUACAUCGGAAUCUACUUUUUCGUGGGGGAUAACGUAGGGAAACUUACGCUAAUACCGCAUACGACCUACGGGUGAAAGCAGGGGAUCUUCGGACCUUGCGCGAUUGAAUGAGCCGAUGUCGGAUUAGCUAGUUGGCGGGGUAAAGGCCCACCAAGGCGACGAUCCGUAGCUGGUCUGAGAGGAUGAUCAGCCACACUGGAACUGAGACUCGGUCCAGACUCCUACGGGAGGCAGCAGUGGGGAAUAUUGGACAAUGGGCGCAAGCCUGAUCCAGCCAUACCGCGUGGGUGAAGAAGGCCUUCGGGUUGUAAAGCCCUUUUGUUGGGAAAGAAAAGCAGCAGGUUAAUACCCCGCUGUUCUGACGGUACCCAAAGAAUAAGCACCGGCUAACUUCGUG